GUGGGGAAUAUUCCGCAAUGGACGAAAGUCUGACGGAGCAACGCCGCGUGAGUGAUGAAGGUUUUCGGACUGUAAAGCUCUGUUGUUUAGGACGAAAGUGCCUGUUGCGAACAGUUACAGGUAUUGACGGUACUAAACGAGGAAGCCACGGCUAACUACGUGCCAGCAGCCGCGGUAAUACGUAGGUGGCAAGCGUUGUCCGGAAUUAUUGGGCGUAAAGAGCAUGUAGGCGGAGAUUUAAGUCUGUUGUGAAAAUGCGGGGCUCAACCCCGUAUUGCGAUGGAAACUGAAUUUCUUGAGUGAAGGAGAGGAAAGGGGAAUUCCCAGUGUAGCGGUGAAAUGCGUAGAUAUUGGGAGGAACACCAGUGGCGAAGGCGCCUUUCUGGACUGUGUCUGACGCUGAGAUGCGAAAGCCAGGGUAGCGAACGGGAUUAGAUACCCGAGUAGUCC
rnacentral:rRNA from 1 species